AGAACGAACGCUGGCGGCAUGCCUAAUACAUGCAAGUCGAACGAACACUUCGGUGUUAGUGGCGCACGGGUGCGUAACGCGUGGGAAUCUGCCCCUGGGUUCGGAAUAACAGUUGGAAACGACUGCUAAUACCGGAUGAUAUCGAAAGAUCAAAGAUUUAUCGCCCAGGGAUGAGCCCGCGUAGGAUUAGCUAGUUGGUGAGGUAAAGGCUCACCAAGGCGACGAUCCUUAGCUGGUCUGAGAGGAUGAUCAGCCACACUGGGACUGAGACCACGGCCCAGACU
rnacentral:rRNA from 1 species